rnacentral:rRNA from 1 species
GGUGCAUGACGCGCUUGAUCGUCUCUUGCCUUGUGUGUCAACGCCAGUUCGCGAUCGAGGAAAACUCCAGGGUCAUGGUAGCUCGUCUACGGGUGAGUGAAUAGCCUUGGCAGAACUCAUUUGCGGACUGUUUCUUUCGUGUCUGGUUGCAGUGUCCUUGGCAUUCUGGAAGCUCGUCUUGGCUUGCCACUGGCGGGGGACCUGGGUGACUUGGGCAUUUCCCUGACACAAAGACGAUGACUAAAUGGUUCUAUUCGACCCGUCUUGAAACACGGACCAAGGAGUCUAACAUAUGUGCGAGUCCACGGGUGGUAAACCUGCUGGCGCAGUGAAAGCGACUGCUGGGAUCUUUGCACCAGCAACCGACCAAUCAAUUGAGAGAGGUUUGAGUAUGAGCAUAUCUGUUAGGACCCGAAAGAUGGUGAACUAUGCCUGAGAAGGGCAAACUCAGGGGAAACUCUGAUGGAGGCUCGUAGCGAUACUGACGU